AGUGGAAUAGCUGGAUCAGAUGGUGGUUCCAUUCCCACUUUUCUGAGGAAUUUCCAUACUGCUUUCCAUAGUGGUUGCACCAAUUUGCAGUCCCACCAACAAU
rnacentral:pre_miRNA from 1 species